GUUCCUUGGGUGCUCCUCUGUGAUCUGCCAAGGUGCAAAAUUUGCAAAAUUAUCUCCUGCCUCCAAUCCCAACCUUCUCCCACCCGUGGUAUGCUCCCUCCAGUUCUGUCUGCAACCUUGGGAUGAGACAAAUGGCCCUUGGGAGGUGUCUCUCUCUCCAGUGACUGCAACAGGAACCCAGAAAUGCUGCAGGAUCUUUGUGGUAUCUGCUGAAGUCCAUGAGCCUUGACCCCAACCUCUAAGGGAGGAAUCAGACCUGGAGAAAAGUUCCUGCAAUUCAAAGAAAUGAGGUCGCAACUUUUGGGAGAAGAAUGUUGAAACUCAAACCUGAACUUCCAGCCUGAAUGUCCACCAGGCCUUGAUAACCAAGCUGGACCAGGAAGAUGAGCAAUAACUGGAUUGCCAUGUGCCAGGGAUCAAUGGGCAGAACACCCUCAGGGGCCUCAGAAGGCUCCCAGCUUGCCUGAUAUCCAUGAAUCCAAAUGGAAAAGAGAAAAUGGCAAAUGACACUUAAUCCCAAAGUGAGCCAAGCUGUCCUUGUACCCAGAGAAACAACUGACAGCUGACACAGGAUGGGACCUGCAGGGAUUUCUGAAGCAGCAAAGGCUCCUCUGGGCAAGAUUAAAGCUCAGUGCAAACCCCAAGGUCACCUCUGCCUGAGCAGUGUAGAACUUGGGAUCACCUGAGCUCACUGGCAUCCAGCAGGUUUGGGGUAUAUUGCACUGGAGAUUCCACAAAGCUUUCACCCACCAGGAGCUCUGGGCUCUGCAGAGUCUGAUAGAUAUCCUGAAAAAUUUUGGAGUGACAUUUUGGAGGGUAGCUGGCAAAACAUGAGCCAGCAAGACAUUGUAGAAAGAUGAAUUCACAAGCAUAAAGUUUUAGAGAGGGUACUUGAGAAUGAAAGAGUGGUUCCACCAACCUUCACCAUUCAUUUAUUUAAAUUUAUGCUAUAAAAUGGACAGCAGAGGAAAGUCAGAACUUGCACUGAUGAUUUUUCAUUCUCUUCCCCCCACUGCCCCUGAUCUUUUAUUUAUGAAACUGGUCUGGGUGCACCUUUCGAAUGACUUUUUUUGGCUUACUGUUUAUUAUGUCUUCAUCAGCCUUGAAAUGGCAGCUGCAGGCAGCUUGAUAAAUGGAUGGAAAAGCUGCUUCUGCCAGAGUCAAACCAACAAAAACCCCUCAGCAUCCAUAAGGCUUUUUGUUUUAGCAUUUCUAAAACAAGCACUAUUUCCCUCAAAGCAUCACUGAAGAGUGAUGCUCCAGUAGCCCUGAGUGUUUCAACAAAGGGAUUUUUUAAUCCAGUGAUGCCCAGGGCAGAAGUUCCUCACUGGGUCAUGGACAGGACUCAGCCUGCAGCUCUGGAGAGCAAGGGCAGAGAAAGAGAGAGAGAGACAGGGAGAGAGAGAGAGAGAGAGAGAGAGAGAGAGAGAGAGAGAGAGAAAUAUGGCAAAAUCUUCACUCCACAAUGUGCUGGGCAGAUCAAUGGAGUAAAUGAGGCAAAAUGUAUGAAGCUGGAUCCUGCUCACAGAGACCUGCAGCUUUCAUGCAGCUAUUUUUUACCCAGAUACUUUCUGAACUCUUCAUUUCCUCCCAAUCCUUCUUUAAAUAUGAACAGCUCAAUACAUCCCUGCUUCAAACCUUUUGUCCUUAGCACAUUUAUAUUCCACAGUUGGCCCAGCCUGGCAGUAAACAAGGGUUUAGCUACUGUGGCAUAUUGACAGUGGUGAAUGGUUCAAUCCCAUCUGUGAAGGUACAAAAUACCCACAAGAAAAUAGGAAAGGGGUAAGGAGCCAUCCAGGUGAAAACCUGUCAUGUUAUCUGCUGCAGCUUACAGCACAAAUAUUGCAGCAAAGAAGGGAGAGAGGGGAAAUCCACCACCAGAAAAACCAACCAACCAACCAACCAACCAACCAACCAACCAACCAACCAACCAACCAACCAAC